rnacentral:rRNA from 1 species
CGGACGGGUGAGCAACGCGUGGGUAACCUGCCUCACACUGGGGGAUAACAGUUAGAAAUAGCUGCUAAUACCGCAUAAGCGCACAGUUCCGCAUGGAACAGUGUGAAAAACUCCGGUGGUGUGAGAUGGACCCGCGUCUGAUUAGCCAGUUGGCGGGGUAACGGCCCACCAAAGCGACGAUCAGUAGCCGGCCUGAGAGGGUGAACGGCCACAUUGGGACUGAGACACGGCCCAAACUCCUACGGGAGGCAGCAUG